rnacentral:rRNA from 1 species
AACAAACGCUGGCGGCGUGCCUAACACAUGCAAGUCGUACGAGAAAGUCGGCUUCGGCCGAUGAGUACAGUGGCGCACGGGUGAGUAGCGCGUGGGUAAUCUGCCCCCCGGUCAGGAAUAACCCGCCGAAAGGCGGGCUAAUACCCGAUAACACUGACGCUCCGCGGAGCGUCUUUCAAAGAAGGCCUCUGUUUACAAGCUUUCGCCGGAGGAUGAGCCCGCGUACCAUUAGCUAGUUGGCAGGGUAAUGGCCUACCAAGGCUACGAUGGUUAGCUGGUCUGAGAGGAAGGCCCCCCACACUGGGACUGAGACACGGCCCAGACUCCUACGGGAGGCAGCAGUGAGGAAUAUUGGACAAUGGAUGGAAAUCUGAUCCAGCCAUGCCGCGUGCAGGAAGACAGCCCUAUGGGUUGUAAACUGCUUUUAUAUGGGAGCAAUAAGGUCUACGUGUAGACUGAUGAGAGUACCAUAUGAAUAAGCAUCGGCUAA